ACGUCGGGCAACCUGCCCCCCGCACCGGGAUAGCCUCGGGAAACCGUGGGUAACUACCGGACUACGUCCGGCCCCCUCCGCGAGUGGUGGGGGCGGGAAAGGCGUACACGGCGGGGGAUGGGCCCGCGGCCUGUUAGCUCGUUGGCGGGGUAACGGCCCACCAAGGCGAUUAUGGGUAGCCGGGUUGAGAGACCGACCGGCCAGAUUGGGACUGAGACACGGCCCAGACUCCUACGGGAGGCAGCAGUGGGGAAUCGUUGCACAAUGGGCGAAAGCCUGAUGGCAGCGACGCCGCGUGCGGGAAGAAGGCCCUCGGGUUGUAAACCGCUUUCAGCAGGGACGAGGCGCGAGUGACGGUACCUGCAGAAGAAGCCCCGGCUAACUACGUGCCAGCCGCGGC
rnacentral:rRNA from 1 species